UUUAAAUGUAAAAGUUUUAUUUAAUUAGUAUUAGUUAUGAUCUUGAAAAUUAAAAAUUUUGGCGGUAUUUUAGUCUAUUUAGAGGAACCUGUUCUUUAAUUGAUAAUCCACGAUUAAUUAUACUUUAUUUUUUAGUUUGUAUAUCGUUGUUAUUAAAAAUUUUAUAAGAAUAUAAUUUUUAAUUAAUUUAAUUAGAUUUUAAAUCAAAUCAAGGUGCAGUUUAUAGUAAAGUAGAAAUGGGUUACAAUAAAUUUAUUUAAAUGGUUUUUAAUUUGAAAAUAGUUAAAUUAAAUUGGAUUUAAUAGUAAAAGAUUAAAAUUUUAAUUUUUGAUUUUAGCUCUAAAA
rnacentral:rRNA from 1 species